rnacentral:rRNA from 1 species
AGAGUUUGAUCAUGGCUCAGAUUGAACGCUGGCGGUAUGCUUAACACAUGCAAGUCGAACGGCAGCACGAGAGAGCUUGCUCUCUUGGUGGCGAGUGGCGGACGGGUGAGUAACGCGUAGGAAUCUGCCUAGUAGUGGGGGACAACUCGGAGAAAUCCGAGCUAAUACCGCAUACGCCCUACGGGGGAAAGCAGGGGAUCUUCGGACCUUGCGCUAUUAGAUGAGCCUGCGUUGGAUUAGCUUGUUGGUGAGGUAAUGGCUCACCAAGGCGACGAUCCAUAGCUGGUCUGAGAGGACGAUCAGCCACACUGGGACUGAGACACGGCCCAGACUCCUACGGGAGGCAGCAGUGGGGAAUAUUGGACAAUGGGCGCAAGCCUGAUCCAGCAAUACCGCGUGUGUGAAGAAGGCCUGCGGGUUGUAAAGCACUUUCAAUUGUGAAGAAAAGCUUGAGGUCAAUACCCUCGAGUCUUGACGUUAACUUUAGAAGAAGCACCGGCUAACCCUGUGCCAGCAGCCGCGGUAAUACAGGGGGUGCAAGCGUUAAUCGGAAUUACUGGGCGUAAAGCGCGCGUAGGCGGAUUGUUAAGUCAGAUGUGAAAGCCCUGGGCUCAACCUGGGAACUGCAUUUGAAACUGGCAAACUAGAGUAUGGUAGAGGAAAGUGGAAUUUCGGGUGUAGCGGUGAAAUGCGUAGAUAUCCGAAGGAACAUCAGUGGCGAAGGCGACUUUCUGGACCAAUACUGACGCUGAGGUGCGAAAGCGUGGGUAGCAAACAGGAUUAGAUACCCUAGUAGUCC